CGAUGAGGGUGGCGGUGCCGUCGCCGUUGUCGACGGCGGCGACGAGGCCCUCGGCGGUCGAGCGGUCGGCACGCUUCGCGUUGCCC
rnacentral:tRNA from 1 species